UUACGAAGGAGCCAUUCGUAUAGUUUGC
rnacentral:sRNA from 1 species